rnacentral:rRNA from 1 species
UACGUAGGGCGCAAGCGUUGUCCGGAUUUAUUGGGCGUAAAGAGCGUGUAGGCGGCUUGGUAGGUCCGCUGUGAAAACUCGAGGCUCAACCUCGAGAUGUCGGCGGAAACCACUUGGCUAGAGUCCGGAAGAGGAGAGUGGAAUUCCCGGUGUAGCGGUGAAAUGCGCAGAUAUCGGGAAGAACACCUAUGGCGAAGGCAGCUCUCUGGGACGGUACUGACGCUGAGACGCGAAAGCGUGGGGAGCGAACAGG